rnacentral:rRNA from 1 species
AUGGGAAAUUGCACAAUGGGCGCAAGCCUGAUGCAGCAACGCCGCGUGAGGGACGAAGGCCUUCGGGUUGUAAACCUCUUUUAGCAGGGAAGAAGCGAAAGUGACGGUACCUGCAGAAAAAGCGCCGGCUAACUACGUGCCAGCAGCCGCGGUAAUA